AGGAUUUGGUCCUGCUCUUCACCUCGCAGCUCUGCUUCCCUGUGUAGUAGUUUCAUUCUAAGCUAUGCCCUCACCAUGCUCAUGGCCAAGGCCCCAUGUCCUGCUUGGCACUGAGGGUGCAGAAACCCACGGUGGGAGGAUUUUACCAGAGGGAAAAUGGAUUCUGGCAUGAACGUCCUCACCAGAUGCUGAUGCCAUCCUCUUGAACAUCCCAGUCUCCAGAACUGUGAGCCAAAUAAACUUCUCCUGUUUAUAAAUUA
rnacentral:lncRNA from 1 species